AUAAUGUUAGCAUGCCCAAAGGGGUUGGGCAGCCAGUUGACCUUGGACACCAAGAGGUUUUUUCCUCCUUACUGAGGAGUUUUUGGUUCCUCUCCUCCAUUGUCUUCUGGUCUUUUCUGUUCUGCAUUCACAUUCUUGGUCACUUGCAUUGUUUAGCGCCUUGGGGUAACCUUGUCGUGAAAGGCGCUAUGUAAAAAUCCAUUGAAUUGAAUUGACAGCCACUGUCUCUGGAAGAAGCCAUGCAUCUGAGCAAGAGCUGUGCAGGUGAAAACAUACUGUUGUAUUUCAAAGGAGGAAACCAUACUGUGUGGUAAGUAUUUUAGUGGAGACAUCCUAUACAAUGGUAUGCUGAUCUUUAGUGUUCUGUGGCAUUUGUCAUGAUAAACUACAGUACCGUAGUUGAGAACUAGUUUUUUUUACAGAAUCAAUUGUGAAAAUCGCUUAUGGUGGUCGAAUAAUCCAAUAUGAUUAUGGUCGUGCUUUGUCUCUCAGGAACUAAAUCUUUUUAUUCGCUUGCAAUAGGAGCUAAACCUCUUUCUUGUCCUGGGACAUUGCAGACGUGCCCAUUGCAACACUCUGAACAGCACUCAGAGAAGUCAGCUCCUUGGAGAACCCCAGGUCACUGGCAGAGAGCUGGGCUCACGAGUGAGGGUGAAGAAAGGAUCUGUUUAGGACUGAAAAUUCUGGCCACGUUUCCACAGAAAGAGCAGGGGUGAUUUCACCUCCAUCGAGCCAGCUCCCUAGGACCCUUCAAGCAAUGUUGGGGUGAAAUUCUCAGAUCACUGGGCUCUGUACAUCACAAUGAGCAAGGUGUGGGGGUCAGAGUGUACCUGCCAGCGAUCCUGUGAUCAGUGACAGCAGUGGACCUGCGGCUGGGGGUGUCCUGGUUCAGAGUCAGAAAGAACAGGUGUGGAGAAGUAAAGGGGGCUUCACACCUGGGGGCAGGUGCUUCCCAACUCUGGGAAUGCGCACCAGGCCAAGUUCGGGGAGUCUGAAGAGAUCAGGCUGUCCAGGGCAGUGAUGACGUGUCUCUGGAAUUCACGGGCUGUGCUCCUGUAUCCUACCUCCUGGUUUUUUUAUUCCCUUUUCUCCCUGUCUUGUUCCGGUCUGGGCAGCUGGGGGUUUUGCUUUGUGAGCUUUGUGUGUGUGUGAGUGUGUGUGUGAAUGUGUGAGUGUGUGUGAGUGUGUGUGUGUG